AAGAAAUUUGCAGCCCAAGGCACAGGGGUGGUGCAAAGGAGGGAUAAGCUCUCCCCAGCCGUGCUUACAAGCCCCAGUUGUUAUCAGAGGAUCAGGGGGGCUUUGGAUCCCCUUUAUUGCUGCCCACCAAGGGCUCCUCGGGAGUCAUUCCCUGUGGGAUCCGUCCCAGGAGCUCUCCCAGCAAGAGGCUGGGAUGCUGCUUUUCCAGCAGCCAUCCCUUGGAAAGCACCUGGACAAAACUGACAUUAGCUGGGGGUCCGCAUCCUCCUGAAGGUGCUGACAGAACGGGUUUUGUCCCCUCCCUUCAAACUCCAUCCUGGGAAAUCCCACACCCAAACCUCUCUUGCUGCACUCCAGAUCCAUUUUCUGCUGGAGAAUUUUUUGGAGUCUCCUCCUGUUGGAUCUUAAGUGGGUUCUUCUUUGCACAUCCUAAAAACUGAACAUGGCUGGAACCCAGAUAUCUGCUUGAUUUGGGACUUUGGGAUCUCACCUGAGCAAGGAAUGUUUUAUAUCCCAAAUCCACCUUCUGCUUUUGGUAAACUGGCAGCAACCAAAUACCCAGCUACAGUUUUAGGAUUUGAAAUGUUGCUACAUAAAAAUACCUUGUUGCUGGCUUGCAUCUGGAAAAACAAACCCUGUGUAUACCUGUGCACAGUGGCCCACAAUUCCCAAAAAAUCCUGAUUAUCAUUAACCCAGCAUUUCCAAAGCAAAAGCCAAAUACAAAAACAAAGUGUGUUCAUCACAGAAGGUCCUUUUCAGAGCAGGCAGGGAUGGAUUCAGAGCACUGGGCCCCCUGUGGAGGGGAGGAAGGACCAAACCCUUCCCCUCCCUGCAUCCAAAAGCAGCAGGAGCUGGGGAGCAAAAGAGCAGGAGGUCACUGAGUUUUGGAGAAGAAGAUGCUGCUCUCAGAGGGAGGAGGAAGAUCUCUGCCCUGCCCAGCUGGAGCAUUUCCUGGGUUUUUUAGAAUCAUGUGUUUUAGAGUCAUCAACCAGGAGUAUUCGUCUUUAAGGAAGCAAUUCAUAUCUGGGUCCCUGAUCACCUUGGGAAGGUGUGGGGCUGCCCCUGCGUCAUUCCCCUUGCUCUGGAGAUGGGAAUUUUCCACCUUGGCUAAAGGGAAAUGAUGGCUUUGAUGGUUUAUAUUCCCAGCCAGGCUCCAAGUGAGGCAAGUGGUCCCCAAGGUUGGCAAAAUUCAAUAGAAUUUUGAAGAAAAGGAAGAAAAUCUCCUUCAGAGCCAGGCAGAUCCUAGG